rnacentral:tRNA from 1 species
UGGAGGCUACGGGAAUCGAACCCGUGACCUUCUGCAUGCAAAGCAGACGCUCUACCAACUGAGCUAAGCCCCC